UAUUGAAACAUCCUUUAGCGCGCGGGAUGGUUACGUAUUCCGUCUUAUGGCCCUCAGCCAAUUUAGUGCAGCAAAGUUUGGAUGGACGAAGCUAUGAUGCUUUAGACUUUGUUCAGAGUUUGAAGUAUGGAUUAUACGGUACAUUUUACGUUGCCCCAACGAUCUAUGGAUGGGUAAAGAUAACCAGCAUCAUGUGGCCAAAAAUUAAUUUACGUACUGCCAUGAUCAAAGCUAUUAUCGAGCAAGCUACAUAUGGGCCAUUUGCUGGCAUUAGUUUUUUAUAUAUUAUGUCAUUGACCGAAGGAAAGACAGCUGUAGAAGCAGUAAAAGAAGUAAAAUUGAAAUUCCCCACUACAUAUACAGUAGGUCUUGCAUUUUGGCCUUUUAUUCAAACAAUCAAUUUUGCUUGUAUACCCGAACGGAAUCGUGUGCUAUUUGUUGCAACCUGCAGUUUCGUAUGGACAGUUUUUCUAGCUUCUAUUAAAAAUAACUGUAUUUCGAAUCAAAACUAACAUCUGACGAAAUAAACAAAACUGCAACGUAGCAAACAGAAAACUUGUGAAAUAUAAAUUAAAUGUUAUAGUUAGGCUGAUCAUACGUACCGUAUUCCGGGACAGUCCCAAUUUCAAAAUGGAAAUUAAAUGUCCAGUCGUAAAAAAAACCCGGGUCCGUGGCAACACUUCCGUUCCGUAGAACAGUACUCGCCACCCUACUAGCAAAGAGAAUGAAAAAGUGUGCGACUUUCUGGCGAGGAGCAUGUUGAAGCAGGGAGAGACGAUUGGAAUUACGCGGAAUUACGCGGAGGCGCGAGCGUGUUUUGGUUUCUACACAGUUUUCGCACUCACACAAUGAAAUAUAUAUUGUGACCCGGGUUUUUUUUACGACUGGACAUUAAAUUUCCAUUUUGAAAUUGGGACUGUCCCGGAAUACGUUUUCUUUAUUUCGUCAGAUGUUAGUUUUGAUUCGAAAUACAGUUAUUUUUAAUAGAAGCUAGAAAAACUGUCCAUACGAAACUGCAGGUUGCAACAAAUAGCACACGAUUCCGUUCGGGUAUACAAGCAAAAUUGAUUGUUUGAAUAAAAGGCCAAAAUGCAAGACCUACUGUAUAUGUAGUGGGGAAUUUCAA